rnacentral:rRNA from 1 species
CCUACGGGUGGCAGCAGUGAGGCAUAUUGGUCAAUGGACGAGAGUCUGAACCAGCCAAGUAGCGUGAAGGAUGACUGCCCUAUGGGUUGUAAACUUCUUUUAUAUGGGAAUAAAAUGUUCCACGUGUGGGAUUUUGUAUGUACCAUAUGAAUAAGGAUCGGCUAACUCCGUGCCAGCAGCCGCGGUAAUAAGGAGGAUCCGAGCGUUAUCCGGAUUUAUUGGGUUUAAAGGGAGCGUAGGUGGAUUGUUAAGUCAGUUGUGAAAGUUUGCGGCUCAACCGUAAAAUUGCAGUUGAAACUGGCAGUCUUGAGUACAGUAGAGGUGGGCGGAAUUCGUGGUGUAGCGGUGAAAUGCUUAGAUAUCACGAAGAACUCCGAUUGCGAAGGCAGUUCACUGGACUGCAACUGACACUGAGGCUCGAAAGUGUGGGUAUCAAACAGGAUUAGAUACCCGGGUAGUC